GCAAUCAAUUGUCCCAUAAAUCGAGACUAGUAUGAAUGGCUAAACGAGGUCUUAACUGUCUCUUGCAGGCAAUCGGUGAAAUUGAUCUCCCUGUGCGAAAGCAGGGAUAAACCCAUAAGACGAGAAGACCCUGUGGAACUUCAAAACCAGCGGCCACCCCAAAAUACAUACACACCCACUGGGCUCACUUAUACACUAAGCCACUGGCCCGCGUUUUUCGGUUGGGGCGACCUUGGAGAAAAACAAAUCCUCCAAAAAUUAGACCAACCCUCUAGACUGAGAGCAACCCCUCAACGUGCUAAUAGCAACCAGACCCAAUAUAAUUGAUCUAUGGACCAAGCUACCCCAGGGAUAACAGCGCAAUCUCCCCCGAGAGUCCGUAUCGACAGGGAGGUUUACGACCUCGAUGUUGGAUCAGGACAUCCUAGUGGUGCAGCCGCUACUAA
rnacentral:rRNA from 1 species